AACGGCCAUACCAUGCUGAAUAUACCGGUUCUCGUUAGAUCACCGAAGUCAAGCAUCAUUGGGCGUGGUCAGUACUUGGGUGGGUAACCACCUGGGAACACCGCGGGCCGUU
rnacentral:rRNA from 1 species